rnacentral:rRNA from 1 species
GACGUGAACGCUAGCGGGAGGCUUAACACAUGCAAGUCGAGGGGCAGCAGUAAGGUAGCAAUACUUGAUGGCGACCGGCGCACGGGUGAGUAACGCGUAUGUAACCUGUCCUUAACAGGAGGAUAACCCGGAGAAAUUCGGACUAAUACUGCAUAAAAUUAUAAAUAGGCAUCUAUUAAUAAUUAAAGCUACGGCGGUUAGGGAGGGGCAUGCGUAACAUUAGCUGGUUGGUAGGGUAACGGCCUACCAAGGCAAUGAUGUUUAGGGGACCUGAGAGGGUGACCCCCCACACUGGUACUGAGACACGGACCAGACUCCUACGGGAGGCAGCAGUGAGGAAUAUUGGUCAAUGGGCGGCAGCCUGAACCAGCCAUCCCGCGUGAAGGAAGAAUGCGCUAUGCGUUGUAAACUUCUUUUUCAGGGGGAUAAAAUUCUGUAUGUAUACAGGACUGAAGGUACCCUGAGAAUAAGCAUCGGCUAACUCCGUG